UACAAGUUACUCAUCAUGAGUAACGUUUAUCGUAACUCAAGAGACACGGUCGUAAUUUCGAGCGCUUUAGUUGGGGGUAUAUUUGUCAAGUAUGAUUUUAAGUGAGAUUGGGGGAGUUAACGCCAAGAAUGGUCAUUAACGUUUAGAGAUGGUGAAAAUUAAAGUUAGGGUUUGGUUUAUCGAAAUCAAAUUCGCACAGAGGUGGGGAGUCGCCAGGAGUCGGGUUCGUUCACCAUAAUUCUCUCAUAAAAUCGUCGAAUUCACACAGAAGAGUGGGCUAAUCGUUGGAAGUGCAGAGGCAGUGGUUCGUAGAGCGUAGAGGGGACUCGCAAGAAUUCAUCGAAAGCAGACCAUAAUUCUGCCACAAAUCGCGGUUUGCAAAGUCAAAAUUGUGGUGUUGAAGGUUGUUGAAUACCCUGUGAUGAAGGAUCGACAUCCAGUGUUCCCUGAAAUGUUUAAGAGAUACGAGGCAUCAAACGUUUGGUCAAGGAGAGAAGGGUGUUUAAUCAAGGACAACACUUUCAUUCAAGUACUACUCUUUGAUAGACCGAUUCGAUAAAGAAGAAAGUUCAGAAUAAUGGCCAGUCAAGAAGAAGUUGACCAACUUAAGCUGACUGUCAAUGGACUUGCCGAGAUGCUUAGUAUCAUGUUAGGAUGCUUUUAAUAUUUCUAAUAUCAUGCUUGCUAGUAUCAUGUUAGGAUAAAGCUUUGAUCUUUAUUGUUUAGUGACAUGCUAAGAUUUGAUAUUAAUCCGUGUUUGGUAUCAUGUCUAGGAUCUUGCUAAUAUUAUUUUGGAGAUAUUGCUUUACUAUGAUGAUGAUUUG